UCCUUGGCAGUUCAUUGGUUAGGACUCUACACUGUCACUGCUGAGGGCCCAGGUUCAACCCCUGAUCAGGGAA
rnacentral:tRNA from 1 species